CAAUCACUCCUCUUAUGUCUGGUUAUAAGUGUUCUUUGUUAAUUGCUUUGAUUGGUUUAAUUUAAUGCAGUGAAGACAUAGGAACAAUGAAGUUCAAUUUCCUGGUGAGCUUAAACCCAAGGGUUAUAGCUACCGGUUGAAGAUUCGCCAGAAAUAACAACAAAUUUAUGCUUUCAAAUACUACCAUAUUCAGGUCUGACAACACACUGUAGCCAUCCAUUAAAAAUUUUUGAUGCACUGAGUUUAAUUUGGAUUUAUUCAUUGUAAUGGAAAAAUUUAGGUAAAGUGUGCCUGACCUCAAAAGGUAACUUACCUAAAUUUCUCCACCAUUACAAAAAAUUUCACACCAGA